CAAGCCGUCCGGCUCUCUCCCCGAGACGCGUGCGGCCACUCGCCGCCACA
rnacentral:ribozyme from 1 species